rnacentral:rRNA from 1 species
UGCGUAGGCGGAACUUUAAGUCAGUGGUGAAAUCUUGCCGCUUAACGGUAAAAUUGCCAUUGAUACUGAAGUUCUUGAAUAUGGUUGAGGUAGGCGGAAUGUGUUGUGUAGCGGUGAAAUGCAUAGAUAUGACACAGAACGCCGAUUGCGAAGGCAGCUUACUAAGCCAUUAUUGACGCUGAGGCACGAAAGCGUGGGGAGCGAACAGGAUUAGAUACCCUGGUAGUCC